rnacentral:pre_miRNA from 13 species
GUAAUAUGUAUAUGUAUUGCUGUAAAGUCUGAAAUUUUGCACACAUUUACAAUUAUUGUAAAUGUGUUGAAAAUCGUUUGCACAAACUGUGA